rnacentral:snoRNA from 1 species
AGCUGAUGAUGAUGAAAGUAAGGCUUGUUUCUCAGAGACAUUCGCAGUGGCCGACUAAGAUCUUUCGCCUUUCGCCGGGCUUGAGAGAUAAUGCUGCUCUUUCCUUCCUUGGAUGUCUGAAGCU